rnacentral:rRNA from 1 species
UACAGAGGUCUCAAGCGUUGUUCGGAUUUAUUGGGCGUAAAGGGCGCGUAGGCGGCGGGGUAAGUCGGGUGUGAAAUCUCAGGGCUCAACCCUGAAACUGCACUUGAUACUGCUCUGCUUGGGACUGGAGAGGAGACUGGAAUUCACGGUGUAGCAGUGAAAUGCGUAGAUAUCGUGAGGAAGACCAGUGGCGAAGGCGGGUCUCUGGACAGUUCCUGACGCUGAGGCGCGAAGGCCAGGGGAGCAAACGGG